GGAUCAAGUGAUGAGCAAACUGCAACAAUAUGAAGCGCUAAUCUAUGCUGUGAUUCUUAGUAUUUAAGUCUCUGAUGAUC